GAUUGAUACAUCUCCUCUCCUUAUAUAGAGAGGUUUACUUGACCCCUAAGCAAGCGACUAAUAAACCCUAAUGGGCUAAGGCCCAAUAGGCCCUUGACUCCUCUAACAGGGUUUUUUUUUGCAUUGAAUAGGUGCAGUGUACACAGAUUACAAUUUUUUAUAUUAGUUGUACAUCAUAAUUCCUAUGUUCUCAUUUGUUCAAACGGAUGGUUUUACAUCAGAACUCACUCUAUUCCUAACAGUUUGACUAAAGAGAACGGGGAUUCCAAACCAACACUCAAAUGUUCUUCCCAGUCCUCAAUCAAUUUUUUGUUUUGCCCAUCAGUUCCUUUUGGGCUAUCUACUGUCACUCCCAGAAAGAAUUGGGCCCUGAAUCGCGGGUUGGGCCCAGAGCAGCAGGGUCUUGAAGGGGUUGGAUUUUGGAUUGGAGAAUGGAAGGGGUGGGCUAUUGUUCGACUGCACCGCUACUAUUUGCUGGCCAUGGGUUUGUUGGGCUGCUCCUAGGCUCUUGGCUCACCUGGAUCAGGUGCGCCAAUCUUCUAAUAUCGAAACCUGGGUUCAUUCCCCGGCACCAAAGCGUGCCACGUCGCGUCCUCGCCUCGACCGUCAGAUCGGGCACGCGGACGGCCCAGAUCUUGCAUUUGCUGAUCAUUUUGCAAAAGGAUCCUCAAACUUUAACGAAAUCAAUCCACGGUCCAUCCUCUCUCAGGUUUUUUUGCGGAGGCAGAGACGCGCGGCGCGGGGACCGGGUGGCCGUGCCGGAGGCCGGCGACAGAGGGCAAUGCGACGCCGCUUUCCGCGCCGCAAAUGUCAUUCCCCCUCGCCUCUCUUCGCCGGCGACCGCGUCUGGGCUCAAGUAGUCUGCGUAAGCCGCCGGCGACAUUCCCCCUCGCCUUUGCCAUUUGCGCCUCCCUUCGCUAGCGACCUCGUCCGAGCUCAAGUAGUCUGUGCACCGAGGGUAACUGCUGCACCAGGAUUGGCCACCGACACCAGUUCCAAGCGAGCACGUACCUCUUCCCAUCCACUGCAUCAAGGAAGAUGGGCCCUCCAUCUAAUCUGAAAUUCUGAACUACCAUCGCCGAUUUAGCUGUGCCCAUCCGCACAACCAGCAGGAUAUAUUAGCGAGGCAUGCAGUUCUGAGAUUGCAUCUUUAUACAAUGGCUCAAUGCUUUGUGUAACUCCAAAUUCUGAAUAGACAUUCAGUUUUCCCCCAUUAAUAAUUAGACAACAAUUGACAUCUCUGUUAGUUAUAGUAAAUAAGCAUACAUUCGGAUGGUUCUUAUACAAGGUAAAUAUAAUUCAGGAUACAAAAUAAACCCUCAUGCUGUUAUCCUUUAUCUUACAGAAAAUAAAAAGAUUCAGCAUAUCAAUAUCAUACGUCGUAAUAGCCAAUUUAUUUUACUACCUUCAAUUUUUUGUGGUGUAUUAUCAAAUCAGUACAAAUCAGAACAUCCAAUGGAUUACUUCGCACAAGUCCAUCAUGAUUUAUGACAAGGACCUAUUCAAACUAUCUCUGAACUUUCCUUAUUGCUUUCCGUAUAUGCUAGGUUCUGAAUAAGUCAGCUAAUUUCCCAUAUAUUUCUGGGGGGGGGGGGGGGGCACCGAGGUGCUAUCCUCUGUAGAGAUGUUUAAGGUUAUAGUGAUAUAGAUGGUAAUAUUUGGUAACUUUACAAAUGUCAUUUCAUGGCAGCUCCUAUCCAUAUAUCAAUCAGCAUUUUUAAAGUGUAGGGAUGAAAAAUAAAAUAAGCCUUUCUGAGGUGUACAACUGAGAAAUGAGUUGGGCAUACUUAAUCUUCCAAUGCAUGUAUAUAUGUUUUGUAUACUGCAAAUGAAACAAAAUGAAGUGUUUACAUGUUCAUCUAUCUGCUUGUACUCUAAAAUUGAAGAAUACAAGUUGUGAACUACACUUUCUUUUAUUCAGUAAUUCUGAAUUAGUUUACUUGGGGGUUAUAUUUUCUUUCAUCCAAUAAUCCUGACUCAAUUGAGUUCUUAUCUGAAAAUGGUGUACCAACAGUUCAAGAAAGUGACAGGACAAUUUACUUUUCAUAUGCCCUUCUGAAAUGAUGAAAUUUUAAAUGACCUGGUGACUGCACUCCUAAACCAUUUAUUUAUGUUGUGAAAUCCAUCUCUGUUGAUGCAUCUAUCAACAUUAUUAUUUAAUCUCUCAUAUGUUAUUUCACUAUACAUACACAUUAAAUGAACAUCUAAUAAAACUUUGUAAAAAAAAAGAACUACAUAUUCACUACUGUUACAAAUCACUUCCAUAGCUGUUGCUACUCUUCAAUGCUCGGGGCCUAUAUUUGGAGAACAUGAACUGCUACACUUUUUUUUUUUGCAGAUCCCAAAUAUCAGAAAUCAACAAAUCAACCAGACACAAGGAGAGAAAAAGGAAAAUAAGUUAAGAACUCAUUUCCUUUUUAAUACUUAUUUCAAGUACACAUACAUCUGAAUGACUUAGUGCUACCUACAUUACUUACCUGCUUUGCUUUCCUCCAAAAGGGAAAGGCUUACUGAAACUAGCACUAGCAGUGCGUCUUGCAAUCACAAGGGCGAUAGUCAAAAAUCCCCAAAUCUUGCUACUUGAUUGUAUAUCUUGUGCUGUUUACUUGAGAAAUCUAUUGAUAACUCAAUAUUCCAGCCUGACCAGGCCAAUCUACAGCUUCCAUCAGCAAAACUUGUGGAAGAAACUGAUGAUCAUAUUACACACGUUCAAGUAACAAGCUGCAAGGCUGGCCGAUGGUCAAUGGCAAACAAAACAUCCUUGCAAACCUGCAUGAUCUCAUUCGUCAUGUGCUAGAUUAGAAAAAUGCCUAGUAGGAGCUAUACCAUGUUACCUGCUUGGACCACGACAUGCGAGAGAAUGGACAGAAGGGCAAACUGUACGAGAUUAUGGAAUAUUUCUUUCUCAAUAUUUCCUAGCAACCCAAAUUUAAAUUUGUUACUAUCGACAGAUAUGUAUCCGGGCUCAUGGUAUUCAUGAUGGCCAAUCAAGGCCGAAGCGCAGCAACGCCGCGCGUUAAUUCUA